AACGCACCUUGCGCUCCUUGGUAUUCCGAGGAGCAUGCCUGUUUGAGUGUCACUAAAUUCUCAACCACUCCAGCCUUUGCGGGUUGGAUGUGGCUUGGAUGUUGGGGGUUUCUGCGGGCCUCUCUUUUGAGGUCGGCUCCCCUGAAAUGCAUUAGCGGAACCGUUUGCGGUCCGUCGCCGGUGUGAUAAUUAUCUACGCCAUAGACGAAGGCUGCUCUCUGUCUGUUCAGCUUCUAACUGUCCCCUGUGGACAACUUUUUGAACGUUUGACCUCAAAUCAGGUAGGACUACCCGCUGAACUUAA
rnacentral:misc_RNA from 1 species